GAUGAACGCUGGCGGCGUGCCUAACACAUGCAAGUCGAGCGGCAGCGAGGGGUGCUUGCACCCUGUCGGCGAGCGGCGGACGGCUGAGUAACGCGUGGGAACGUGCCCCAAAGUGAGGAAUAACUGCCCGAAAGGGUAGCUAAUACCGCAUAUUAUCUUCGGACCAAAGGAUUUAUCCGCUUUGGGAGCGGCUCGCGUCGGAUUAGGUAGUUGGUGAGGUAAUGGCUCACCAAGCCGACGAUCCGUAGCUGGUCUGAGAGGAUGACCAGCCAGACUGGAACUGAGACACGGUCCAGACUCCUACGGGAGGCAGCAGUGAGGAAUCUUCCACAAUGGGCGAAAGCCUGAUGGAGCAACGCCGCGUGCAGGACGAAGGCCUUCGGGUUGUAAACUGCUUUUAUAAGUGAGGAAUAUGACGGUAACUUAUGAAUAAGGAUCGGCUAACUACGUG
rnacentral:rRNA from 1 species